UACGAAGGGGCUAGCGUUGCUCGGAAUCACUGGGCGUAAAGGGUGCGUAGGCGGGUCUUUAAGUCAGGGGUGAAAUCCUGGAGCUCAACUCCAGAACUGCCUUUGAUACUGAAGAUCUUGAGUUCGGGAGAGGUGAGUGGAACUGCGAGUGUAGAGGUGAAAUUCGUAGAUAUCGCAAGAACACCCGUGGCGAAGGCGGCUCACUGGCCCGGUACUGACGCUGAGGCACGAAAGCGUGGGGAGCAAACAGG
rnacentral:rRNA from 1 species